UCGAGAAUUUUUCUCAAUGGGGGAAACCCUGAAGGAGCGACGCCGCGUGGAGGAUGAAGGUCUUCGGGUUGUAAACUCCUGUCAUUUGGGAACAAGUGCCGAUAAUUAACUACUGUCGGCUUGAUAGUACCAGAAGAGGAAGAGACGGCUAACUCUGUGCCAGCAGCCGCGGUAAUACAGAGGUCUCAAGCGUUGUUCGGAUUCAUUGGGCGUAAAGGGUGCGUAGGUGGCGCCGUAAGUCAGGUGUGAAAUUUCGGAGCUUAACUCCGAAACUGCAUUUGAUACUGCGGUGCUUGAGGACUGGAGAGGAGACUGGAAUUUACGGUGUAGCAGUGAAAUGCGUAGAGAUCGUAAGGAAGACCAGUGGCGAAGGCGGGUCUCUGGACAGUUCCUGACACUGAGGCACGAAGGCCAGGGGAGCAAACGGGAUUAGAUACCCCCGUAGUCC
rnacentral:rRNA from 1 species